UACGGAGGGGGCAAGCGUUGUCCGGAAUUAUUGGGCGUAAAGAGCGUGUAGGCGGUCCGGUAAGUCGGCUGUGAAAGUCCAGGGCUCAACCCUGGGAUGCCGGUCGAUACUGCCGGGCUAGAGUUCGGAAGAGGAGUGUGGAAUUCCUGGUGUAGCGGUGAAAUGCGCAGAUAUCAGGAGGAACACCAAUGGUGAAGGCAGCACUCUGGGACGUGACUGACGCUGAGACGCGAAAGCGUGGGGAGCAAACAGG
rnacentral:rRNA from 1 species